rnacentral:rRNA from 1 species
GACCUCUGAUCAGAAAAGACUACCCGCUGAGUUUAA